rnacentral:rRNA from 1 species
GACGAACGCUGGCGGCGUGCUUAACACAUGCAAGUCGAACGGAAAGGCCCUGCUUUUGUGGGGUGCUCGAGUGGCGAACGGGUGAGUAACACGGGAGUAACCUGCCCUGGACUUUGGGAUAACUGCAGGAAACUGGGGCUAAUACCGGAUAGGAGCGCCUGCUGCAUGGUGGGGGUUGGAAAGUUUCGGCGGUUGGGGAUGGACUCGCGGCUUAUCAGCUUGUUGGUGGGGUAGUGGCUUACCAAGGCUUUGACGGGUAGCCGGCCUGAGAGGGUGACCGGCCACAUUGGGACUGAGAUACGGCCCAGACUCCUACGGGAGGCAGCAGUGGGGAAUAUUGCACAAUGGGCGGAAGCCUGAUGCAGCAACGCCGCGUGCGGGAUGACGGCCUUCGGGUUGUAAACCGCUUUCGCCUGUGACGAAGCGUGAGUGACGGUAAUGGGUAAAGAAGCACCGGCUAACUACGUG